UUUCUGGCCAGUGUUCUAUGGCUAAAGUGUAAGGAUGGGUGGAGAGCACAAAUGUAUGACACAUGUUCUACUCGGCAUAUAUGAAAUGCAUUCUCGAGAACGUGGAGCAGGCUCUCUAGAGUUAUAUACAUUCUGUGCCAUUACAGAAAUAUCCAUUUUAAAAGAAACACGGGGCUGGGGUGUAGCUCAGGGUGCUCAGCCUGUGUGUGCCCAGUGUGCCUGAAGCACCAAAAAGAGACAGAAGAAUGAGUUGGAGUCUUUCAAAGUACAGCUUCCCUUGGAGGAAGGUCUGGCGCCUUCGCCCCAGGGGUGUAGUUUUUGGGUUGCUGUGGUGUGUUCCUUGAGCUCCUGGGCUCAGAAUGAUCCUCUGAUCCUUCUUCUUUUCCCUAGGGCUCAGGAGGAGUGAGAGCCUGUCAGAAAAACAGGUGAAAGAAGCCAAAUCCAAAUGCAAGAGUAUCGCUCUGCUGCUCACGGACGCCCCCAACCCCAGCUCCAAAGGGGUGCUGAUGUUUAAGAAGCGCCGGCGCAGGGCCCGAAAGUACACCUUGGUCAGCUACGGCACUGGGGAGCUCGAGAGGGAGGCAGGCGAGGAGGAGGAGGAGGAGGAGGAGGAGGAGGGCUUGAGGGAGCACACGGGCGAGCUCGCGUUCCUCCACACCAGUGAGUCAGAGGCGGACGAGGACCUGCUGUCUGACACUGACCACAGCGGGCAGGCUGUGAGCUUCGACUGGGACUCUGGACUGGUGGGCAUUGAGAGGAAGCUGGAGAGAGGGGAUAAAAUGGAGAUGUUGCCAGACACCACGGGCAAGGGAGCCCUUAUGUUUGCCAAGAGAAGGGAGAGAAUGGAUCAGAUCACAGCCCAGAAAGAAGAGGAGAGAGCCGGCGAGCUGGCCGGGAGAGAAGCCGAGGCUACCCUCGCGGACGGCCUAAGAACCAUGGCCUCCUACCACAGCACAGAGGGGCAGUCUGUGAGGGUUCAGAGCUCAGUGAGCAGGAGCUACAUCCAGCUGGGCCCGAGUCCCGGCCACGCGCCCCAGCAGAACGGCCUCAGUGGGGGCUCUGUGGCAGCAGAGGCCCAGAGGAUGAUCCCCAUGAACAGAACCGCCAAGCCCUUCCCCGGGUCUGCGAACCCACCAGCAGCCCCCUUCUCCCCCACCCGGAGCAUGACAAGUCCCAUCUCUGACUUCCCGGCACCUCCACCUUACUCUGCGGUCACUCCUCCACUGGACGCUUUCUCCAGAGGGGUGUCAAGUCCCGUGGCUGGCCCAGCACAGCCCCCUCCCUGGCCUCAGCCUGCCCCGUGGACCCAGCCGGGCUUCUACGAUUCUUCUGAGCGCAUAGCUUCCCGGGAUGAGAGGAUCGCAGUGCCGGCCAAGAGAACGGGAAUCCUGCAGGAAGCCAAGAGGAGAAGCACCACGAAGCCCAUGUUCACCUUCAAGGAGCCCAAAGUAAACCCGAACCCCGAACUCUUGUCCCUGCUUCAGAGUGCAGAGGGCAAACGGGGCACUGGAGCCGGCGGCGACUCGGGGCCCGAGGAGGACUACCUCAGCCUGGGAGCAGAGGCCUGCAAUUUCAUGCAGAGCCCCUCUGCCAAACAGAAGACCCCCCCUCCUGUGGCCCCCAAGCCUGGGGUGAAGUCUGCCUCCCAGCCAGUCACUCCAGUGUCUCCAGUGUGGGCUCCAGGGGCGGCUCCCACACUCCCUCCUGCCUUCCCCACGUCCAGCCCCCCGCAGGGCACCGUCGUCUCCUCCAUCAAGGUAGCCCAGCCCUCCUAUGCUCCUGCCCGGCCCACGAGUGCGCUGAACCUGGCCGGUCCCUUUAAAGGACCCCCGGCAGCAGUGGCCAGUCAGAACUACACCCCGAAGCCAGCAGCACCCGCUCCCCGGGGCGGUGCUGCUCCUUCUGCUGCGGCAGGACCCUCCACCGAGCUGCCUGGAAUGAGUGGGAAGGGGGCCCAGCUCUUCGCCAAAAGGCAGUCGAGAAUGGAGAAGUACGUGGUGGAUUCCGACACCGUGCAGGCUCACGCCACCCGGGCACAGUCGCCCACGCCGUCCCUCCCAGCCAGCUGGAAGUACUCCUCCAAUGUCCGCGCACCGCCUCCGGUGGCCUACAAUCCCAUCCACUCCCCCUCCUACCCGCCGGCUGCUCUCAAGUCUCAGCCGUCGGCCCCACAGGCUUCCAGAGUGGGCAAGAAGAAGGGCAAGAAGCCCCUCAAUGCUCUGGACGUCAUGAAGCACCAGCCGUAUCAGCUCAACGCAUCCUUGUUCACCUUCCAGCCUCCAGGUGCCAAGGAUGGCCUCCCCCAGAAGCCGCCCAUCAAAGCCAGCCCAGCCCCGGCUGUGAACCAAGCUCCACCUCCCGGGUCGGUCACCAUGGGCUCUCCCAGAGCCGCGCAGGCUCCCUCCGUGUGCUCCCUGCCAGCCUACGGCUCCCAGCCCUGCCACUUUGCAGAGCCCACCUCGCCAGCCAGCGCGUCCCCAGUGCCUGUGGGCGUCCCCGCCCCUCCCAGGCAGGAGUCGGGCUCCUCGUCUUAUUUUGUGGCACCCAGGCCCAAGUUCUCUGCCAAGAAAAGCGGAGUUGCUGUGCAGGCCCGUGGGCGCGCCCUUUCUCUCCCUGGAAGACCGGCCCCACCUGCCCUGUCCACAGCACCUCCUUGGCCACAGCAGUCUGCCUUCAGUUACCCUUGCAAGCCACCCAACGGGCUGCAGAGAGCAGGCAGGAGACCGACACCUUGGGAGGCCGCGGCCCAGUCCCCUCUGGGGCUAGUAGAUGAGGCCUUCAGGCCCAGGAACAUCCAGGAGUCCGUGGUGGCCCACGUGGUCUCAGCAGCCUGGAGGAAGGUGCUUCCUGGGUCCCCAGAGGGCUGGAGAGAGAGGCUGCCACACACCCAGCCGGCUCACCUGGUGGCGUCUGGGAGACAGGAGCCCCCGGUUGCCGCCCUCGCCGGUAGCAGCAUGUCCACCAGCUCCUGGUCUGGCCCUCAGUCGCCAUAUGCAUGUCGUGGGCAGGCAUCCGGGGACGACUUUGAGAUACAGUCCCUGGAGACCAGGUCUGACUACUGCCUACCAGCAGCCGGCUGCAACUACCACCCGCAGCCGCGGGCGUGGAGACGGCAGUGGAAGUAGAGGACCCACAGCGGCAGCCAUCACCCUGUGGCAGGCACGUGGGUGCCUCUGCUGUCCCGCAGGGUGGGCUGUCUCCCAACCCCGUUGGAUCUUGUGGCCUUUCCUGAGCCGGUGCCUGACUGGGUACUCACAGUGUGUCUCACUCACUGCCGGCACAUGGAGAAUGUCGUGGAAGAAAAAGCAGAUUCUGCACUGAUGUUCUGGGACUCACAUGUCACUCAAAAUCUUAAUUCUGUUGACAAGGGGCACAAUGCACACCACCUGCCCAGAGAAGGGGCAAUCAGGACUGUCCUCCAAGUGCCUUCGUCCAGGAAGACACUGGCCACACGUGUGCUGAUCACUAGCUGCAGCAGAAGAGGCACUUGGGGGACCUUACCAAAAGAUGCAAAUGAGCAACGAUGGCACACCAGAGGAUCUCCUUGGUACCCCAGAUAUUUCCCUAGUCUUUCUCUGAAACAUUUUUAAGUUUAACAAAACUCACACUUUUUAAAAGACCGACACACAAGAGUUCACAGAGCACAUAAGAACAAGACUUUGCACGUUUCAGGUGGGCUUUUGGAGUGAAGGGUGUAACGGAUGGAAAACAGAAGGGCUUGGAGGUAGACUGGUCCUCACCUGUUUGAACCUGGCAACCGGACACAGGAAUGGACCCCCGGUUCAGUGGUCCUCAAGGGUCAGAUGGGAAGGCUGUGGUCUGCUCUGGGGACCCCCUGGCUCUCAUGCCGGAGAGUCUCGCCCGCAGAGCACCUGUGGUGCGUGGCUGGGCUCAGCAGCAGGAAGGGCAGGAAGGCGAUCCUGGUCACUGAGGUGUCCUCUGGGUCCCAGCAGGAAUCUCCAGGGUGGGUUUGUGUCACGUGUGAGGUGGAAGGAGGGCUGAGGUGCAGAAGGAAACCGUGAGUGGGCACCAGGAUGUGCAGAGGAACGUGCUGAUGUGCAGCAGAGGGGACAGCUACUGGGUGACAGAGAAUGGGCUACAGAAGGCCCAGAGCGGUGCUUCUCUGGGAAUGGCCACUGGACGUUCAGAGGAGGUGAGAGAGCUGAGGCUCGAGCCUCGUUAGCACACAGGGUGUGGACCCCGUGCUUCUCCUCAUGGCCAUGACCACCAGGUGUCCCCCUGGUGAGGUCCAGCCCUCUAUGGCCUGAGCAAGUGUCCAGUCACUGAAAGUUUGAAACUUUGAGGGUUCACCUCUGUGGCGAGCUUGCUUGUGGUACUUUCAACUCCCGAGCCCUCUGCCUGCUGGCUUCUUGUCACGUGAAGGUAUGUUCCACAGACAGGAGCUGAUUAAAAGUGCCAGGGCACACAUGAUCCCCCCCUGGAAGGCGGAAGAGAAGUUGAGGAGUCAGCAGGUUCCAUCAGGGGUGAGAGUAGCCAGAGGCUGCUCCGUCCAGUUAGGCAGAACAAAAAAGAUGCAAACUUUUCAAAGUUUUAUUGUUAAAUUAUCUUAAGUUGAUAAAGAGCUAAUUCUCUCAAAGUAUAAGACAUAAUUAUUGGCUCCAAAGAGUUUUUACAGAAUCCUAAAAAGCCAUGCCUGGUGUGUGUGUUAGUAUGUUGGCAAAUCCUCUAGACACUCACGUCAUGCUCACGUGGUUUGAAAUUUGUUAUGGUGGAGGGAUCUCCUGGCAUAGCCGGCCUUAGGAGGUGAGGGACUUAGACCUCACUUGCUAGGGCCGGUUCUGUUUGUCUGCUUCUUCCAGAAGUGCUCAGGUUGUGUCCACUAGGUGCACACGUGAUGCUCAUGGCUAGACUCACUGCAGGGUGAGGGAGGCACAGGCCACACAGACCUGGCUGAGGUGCACCUCUUCCUGCCUGUGUCACGUCACCUGGCAGACAGAGGCAGGAGUCACGCAGGUCUCUCUGACGUCCGUGGUUUGUCCACAGUCGGAGCUUCGAGAGGUCGCACCUUCCAGUGCUCUGAGGCCACUCUGCGGGAGCACUGUCUCGGUCUCACAGAAGCUCCGGGGACUGAGGCAGGACUGAGGCCACGCCUGCCCCACCGAGGUCCCAUUCUCCCGGCACAGAUUAGGUCACUGUUUCUCACAAAACUGGAAUGAGCUGGCUCCGAACAAGGGCCCCCCAAGGAGAAAACCACAGCCCAGGCACAGACCACGGUGGGCUCCCUGCAUGAGCGAUCACGGGGAGAGGCGUGUUCUGUGCACCUGCACGCCUUCUUGGGACAUCGCGACGUCAUUCCAGGUCCACUCGUCCAGCACUGGCUGGACACUGUGUCUGAGUGUGAGUCCCCGUGUGUGCGCAGCAUCUGGCACGAUGGUCUAGAUUCGCCUACAUCUCAGAGUUGGUACCUGCGUGGCUGGCCUCCUGCCGCCCACCUCAGAUGGGUCUGGUGCUCGGCCACAUCCCAUGCGAGGGAAGAGUCGCCAUGUCAGGACUGACGGGCUCUCAGCCUGAGCUUCAGACAGAUGCGCAUCACAUGGGCUUAGUUAUGAUGAGCAGAAUCGUAGGGACGUUUCUUUUUUAAGAAAAAGUAGAUUUCCACACUAGAUUUCUAUUCAAAGUAGAAGUAAUGACACUAUUCACACUUUUCUAUUAAAAAUUAAAGAUGUGUUGUUCUGCUAGUAAGAUUGUUCACCCCAAAAGGCUGUAUUUAAAAGAUGCACACUGAAAAUCAAAGUCAGCAAUAAACA
rnacentral:lncRNA from 1 species